GAUGAACGCUGGCGGCGUGCCUAAUACAUGCAAGUCGAGCGAACAGAUGCGGAGCUUGCUCCUCUGACGUUAGCGGCGGACGGGUGAGUAACACGUGGAUAACCUACCUAUAAGACUGGGAUAACUUCGGGAAACCGGCGCUAAUACCGGAUAAUAUAUUGAACCGCAUGGUUCAAUAGUGAAAGACGGUUUUGCUGUCACUUAUAGAUGGAUCCGCGCCGCAUUAGCUAGUUGGUAAGGUAACGGCCUACCAAGGCUACGAUGCGUAGCCGACCUGAGAGGGGGGUCGGCCACACUGGAACUGAGACACGGUCCAGACUCCUACGGGAGGGAGCAGUAGGGAAUCUUCCGCAAUGGGCGAAAGCCUGACGGAGCAACGCCGCGUGAGUGAUGAAGGUCUUCGGAUCGUAAAACUCGGUUAUGAGGGAAGAACAAAUGUGGAAGUAACUAUGCACGGCUUGACGGUACCUAAUCAGAAAGCCACGGCUAACUACGUG
rnacentral:rRNA from 1 species